UUGCUUUAGCAGCACAUAUACUAAAAUUGGAAUGAUACAGAGAAGAUUAGCAUGGCCCCUGCGCAAGGAUGACAUGCACAUUCAUGAAGUGCCCCAUAUUUAA
ensembl:snRNA U6 U6 spliceosomal RNA